rfam:Aedes aegypti strain Liverpool supercont1.1018 genomic scaffold, whole genome shotgun sequence.
CCUCUCGUGGCGUAGUGGUUAACGCGCCCCAACUAGAGAUCGGGGAGUCGUGAGUUCGAUUCUCACUGAGAAGA